UCUCUCUCUCUCUCUCUCUCUCUCUCUCUACCUCACACUCUCUCACUCGUGUGUUUGUUCCUCUCUUCGCCACGCGACUCCUAAAAAGUGU